UACGUAGGUGGCGAACGUUAUCCGGAGUAACUGGGUGUAAAGGGUCCGUAGGCGGGCUGUUAAGUCUGACGCGAAAGCGCCCGGCUCAACUGGGCGAGUGCGUUGGAAACUGGCGGUCUUGACUCACGCAAAGGUCGGCGGAAUUCCCGGUGUAGUGGUGGAAUGCGUAGAGAUCGGGUGGAACCUCGAAAGCGAAGGCAGCCGACUGGGUGAUGAGUGACGCUGAGGGACGAAAGCGUGGGGAGCGAACAGG
rnacentral:rRNA from 1 species